ensembl:misc_RNA 7SK 7SK RNA
GGUUGUGAGGUCAACCUGAUGAGGACAUCAGUCUCCCCAUUGAUUCUGGGGUUUAUCAGACUGAUCUAAGCUGGACAGGCAAGGGUCCCUUGUCUCCAUCUCUGCUGUACACUACACUCAAUAGAAAAGGACAACCUUCCCUGACGAGGAGUGCCCUGUUCCUGUUUUCAAGGGCAAAGCAGUAUGUUCAGCCUGAAAAGAUGUGUCGUGUUGAUGAACUAAACCUUUCGCUGAUUUAAACCACAACAACAAAAUCAUUGUAUUAGUGU